AAGGAAAAUUAGCAUAUUUUCUAUGUAAAAUUAUAUCCAUUAUAAAAACAGCUGUUAAAUCCAUCUUUAAUAUCUAGAUUAUGGUAGGAAAUAAUUUGGCAUGCUUAACCACAUUGUCUAUUGUCUCUUAACUAUAUUUUUAUUUUUUAAAUUUUUAUCCUGUUUUCUUUUAAAAAGGUGUGAAGAGGCCUACAAAAUAUAGAGCCUUUAAAGAAGACAUUUAAUAUUCAAAUGGCACGGAAGUACAUGGUUUCCUGCAACUCAGCAAGUUUGGACAACAAAUUUGGUUUUAAGUUUUCUGGCUGCUAAAACAUGUGAAAUAGUUUUUGUUUUUCACAGUGGGAAACCCAGACUUAUCUGCAGAAGCCAGUUUUCUCUUAAACUAAAGAAAGAGAGGUUCUUUAUAGACGACAGCAUUUCCUCAGAAUUUAAAAAAGAUGGAAAAUGCAGAGAGCAGCCAUGACGAAAAACUGUCAAAGCAGUGAGCAUAUCAUGCUGAAUCUGGCAGCACAGAGUUAGGAGAGCCGGUCUUCCUCCUGUGUGAUCACUGGAGGCUAGAGAAGUUAAGCCACAAUGGGAGGCCAAACAGCUCGGACCCGGCAGUGCCAGUGCUCCAGAGCCCAUUCUCU
rnacentral:lncRNA from 1 species